CCUACGGGUGGCAGCAGUGGGGAAUCUUCCACAAUGGGCGCAAGCCUGAUGCAGCCACGCCGCGUGGGUGAAGAAGGCCUUCGGGUCGUAAAACCCUUUUAUUCGGGAAGAAAGUGCGUGGGAGUAUCUCUUCACGUUUCGACGGUAUCUAAACAGAAAGCACCGGCUAACUACGUGCCAGCAGCCGCGGUAAUACGUAGGGGGCAAGCGUUAUCCGUAUUUAUUGGGCGUAAAGGGAACGCAGGCGGUCUUUUAAGUCUGAUGUGAAAGCCUUCGGCUUAACCGGAGUAGUGCAUUGGAAACUGGGAGACUUGAGUGCAGAAGAGGAGAGUGGAAUUCGAUGUGUAGCGGUGAAAUGCGUAGAUAUAUGGAAGAACACCAGUGGCGAAGGCGGCCCUCUGGUCUGUAACUGACGCUGAGGUUCGAAAGCGUGGGGAGCAAACAGGAUUAGAUACCCGAGUAGUC
rnacentral:rRNA from 1 species